rnacentral:rRNA from 1 species
GAGUGGCGAACUGGUGAGUAACACGUGGGAAACCUGCCCAGAAGCGGGGGAUAACACCUGGAAACAGAUGCUAAUACCGCAUAACAACUUGGACCGCAUGGUCCGAGUUUGAAAGAUGGCUUCGGCUAUCACUUUUGGAUGGUCCCGCGGCGUAUUAGCUAGAUGGUGGGGUAACGGCUCACCAUGGCAAUGAUACGUAGCCGACCUGAGAGGGUAAUCGGCCACAUUGGGACUGAGACACGGCCCAAACUCCUACGGGAGGCAGCAGUAGGGAAUCUUCCACAAUGGACGAAAGUCUGAUGGAGCAACGCCGCGUGAGUGAAGAAGGGUUUCGGCUCGUAAAACUCUGUUGUUAAAGAAGAACAUAUCUGAGAGUAACUGUUCAGGUAUUGACGGUAUUUAACCAGAAAGCCACGGCUAACUACGUGCCAGCAGCCGCGGUAAUACGUAGGUGGCAAGCGUUGUCCGGAUUUAUUGGGCGUAAAGCGAGCGCAGGCGGUUUUUUAAGUCUGAUGUGAAAGCCUUCGGCUCAACCGAAGAAGUGCAUCGGAAACUGGGAAACUUGAGUGCAGAAGAGGACAGUGGAACUCCAUGUGUAGCGGUGAAAUGCGUAGAUAUAUGGAAGAACACCAGUGGCGAAGGCGGCUGUCUGGUCUGUAACUGACGCUGAGGCUCGAAAGUAUGGGUAGCAAACAGGAUUAGAUACCCUGGUAGUCCAUACCGUAAACGAUGAAUGCUAAGUGUUGGAGGGUUUCCGCCCUUCAGUGCUGCAGCUAACGCAUUAAGCAUUCCGCCUGGGGAGUACGGCCGCAAGGCUGAAACUCAAAGGAAUUGACGGGGGCCCGCACAAGCGGUGGAGCAUGUGGUUUAAUUCGAAGCUACGCGAAGAACCUUACCAGGUCUUGACAUACUAUGCAAAUCUAAGAGAUUAGACGUUCCCUUCGGGGACAUGGAUACAGGUGGUGCAUGGUUGUCGUCAGCUCGUGUCGUGAGAUGUUGGGUUAAGUCCCGCAACGAGCGCAACCCUUAUUAUCAGUUGCCAGCAUUAAGUUGGGCACUCUGGUGAGACUGCCGGUGACAAACCGGAGGAAGGUGGGGAUGACGUCAAAUCAUCAUGCCCCUUAUGACCUGGGCUACACACGUGCUACAAUGGAUGGUACAACGAGUUGCGAACUCGCGAGAGUAAGCUAAUCUCUUAAAGCCAUUCUCAGUUCGGAUUGUAGGCUGCAACUCGCCUACAUGAAGUCGGAAUCGCUAGUAAUCGCGGAUCAGCAUGCCGCGGUGAAUACGUUCCCGGGCCUUGUACACACCGCCC